UACGAAGGGAGCUAGCGUUGUUCGGAAUCACUGGGCGUAAAGGGUGCGUAGGCGGGUCUUUUAAGUCAGGGGUGAAAUCCUGGAGCUCAACUCCAGAACUGCCUUUGAUACUGAGGGUCUUGAGUUCGGGAGAGGUGAGUGGAACUGCGAGUGUAGAGGUGAAAUUCGUAGAUAUUCGCAAGAACACCAGUGGCGAAGGCGGCUCACUGGCCCGAUACUGACGCUGAUGCACGAAAGCGUGGGGAGCAAACAGG
rnacentral:rRNA from 1 species